rnacentral:rRNA from 1 species
GACGAACGCUGGCGGCGUGCUUAACACAUGCAAGUCGAACGAUGAAGCCGGAGCUUGCUCUGGUGAAUUAGUGGCGAACGGGUGAGUAACACGUGAGUAACCUGCCCUUGACUCUGGGAUAACUGCGGGAAACUGUAGCUAAUACCGGAUACGACCCUCGGAGGCAUCUCCUGGGGGUGGAAAGAAUUUCGGUCAAGGAUGGACUCGCGGCCUAUCAGCUAGUUGGUGAGGUAAAGGCUCACCAAGGCGACGACGGAUAGCCGGCCUGCGAGGGUGACCGGCCACACUGGGACUGAGACACGGCCCAGACUCCUACGGGAGGCAGCAGUGGGGAAUAUUGCACAAUGGGCGCAAGCCUGAUGCAGCAACGCCGCGUGAGGGAUGAAGGCCUGCGGGUUGUAAACCUCUUUUAGCAGGGAAGAAGCGAAAGUGACGGUACCUGCAGAAAAAGCACCGGCUAACUACGUGCCAGCCGCCGCAGUAA